UACGGAGGAUUCGAGCGUUAUCCGGAUUUAUUGGGUUUAAAGGGAGCGUAGGCGGGUUGUUAAGUCAGUUGUGAAAGUUUGCGGCUCAACCGUAAAAUUGCAGUUGAUACUGGCAUCCUUGAGUACAGUAGAGGUAGGCGGAAUUCGUGGUGUAGCGGUGAAAUGCUUAGAUAUCGCGAAGAACUCCGAUUGCGAAGGCAGCCUGCUGGACUGUAACUGACGCUGAUGCUCGAAAGUGUGGGUAUCAAAUAGG
rnacentral:rRNA from 1 species